rnacentral:lncRNA from 1 species
CCAAAUCAACUGUAUUUUGAGGCUAUCUUGGCUAAAAUUUCAUGAAUAAUCUGAUUGUGGGUAAAGAAUUGGAAGAAAAGUGCAUUUUCUUGGUCGAUUUUUGAACCCUAGGUGCCGAAAUUUUGGGGGUUUUGUGGGUUUUUGUGUGCACUUGAAGAGUUUGUUAUUCUCAUCUUCUACAACACUAAGGUAUGCAAGAAUGGUGAAGAGAAAAGAUAAAGCGGGGUCAAGUUCGUCUAAACAACCUCAAGUGGAAGAGGAGCAACCAAAGAGGAGGAAAUUAGCCUGGAUUGGUGAUCCGGAUUCGGAGGAGGAUGCACCUCCAAGGGGUCCAAAGCCGGAUUGGACAUCCGAUUCAUUACUAGACCAACCUGCGGAAUGGAGAGAGGAUUUAUUUCAUGAACAAAUGAACAACUUGAAGCAAAGGGCUGAGGCAUUUAUUUGUGAAAAGGAGAUCCGGGAAGCUGAUUUUGGGCUGUUCGGGAUAACGGCAAAUUUAAAGAAUUGGGAUGGGGGGCAGCUUUGAAGUGUUAUGAUGGUGAGGUGAAGAAGAUGUAUGAUACUCAGAUUCAAGAGUGGAUGGCCUCACUCGAAUGUCCCCCGUUUAAGGCUCCAAAACAGAUGAAGCUCGUUGGAUGGUGUAACGGGG